GACGUAGGGCGCGAGCGUUGUCCGGAUUUAUUGGGCGUAAAGAGCUCGUAGGCGGCUUGUUGCGUCGGCUGUGAAAACCCAUGGCUCAACCGUGGGCUUGCAGCCGAUACGGGCAGGCUGGAGUUCGGUAGGGGAGACUGGAAUUCCUGGUGUAGCGGUGAAAUGCGCAGAUAUCAGGAAGAACACCCGUGGCGAAGGCGGCUCUCUGGGACGGUACUGACGCUGAGACGCGAAAGCGUGGGGAGCGAACAGG
rnacentral:rRNA from 1 species